UGCGUAGGUGGCGGGGUAAGUUUGAUGUGAAAUCUCCGGGCUUAACCCGGAAACUGCAUUGAAUACUAUUCUGCUCGAGGGUUGGAGGGGGGACUGGAAUACUUGGUGUAGCAGUGAAAUGCGUAGAUAUCAAGUGGAACACCAGUGGCGAAGGCGAGUCCCUGGACAACUCCUGACACUAAGGCACGAAAGCUAGGGGAAGGCAAACG
rnacentral:rRNA from 1 species